rnacentral:rRNA from 1 species
UCAAGCUACAAAGGGCGCAGGGCGAAUGCCUUGGCACUGGGAGCCGAUGAAGGACGUGGUUAACUGCGAUAAGCUGCGGGGAGUCGUAAGCAGACAUUAUAUCCGCAGAUUUCCGAAUGGGGCAACCCGGCUGAUUGCAGAUCAGUCAACAUAUGCUGAAUAAAAUAGGUAUAUGUGGGGAACCGCCUGAACUGAAACAUCUAAGUAGGGCGAGGAAGAGAAAUCAAACGAGAUUCCGCUAGUAGUGGCGAGCGAACGCGGAAGAGGCCAAACCGAGAGUAGUAAUACUUUUGGGGUUCGGACUGAGUACGGUAUUGACAAAGGUUAGUGGAAUGAAAUGGGAAGUUCAACCAUAGAGCGUGAGAGUCGCGUAUACGAAAACUUGAGUCAGCCAUCAGUAUCCAGAGUACCGCAGGACACGAGGAACCCUGUGGGAAGUCGGGGGGACCACCCUCCAAGCCUAAAUACUACCUGAUGACCGAUAGAGGAGCAGUACCGUGAGGGAAAGGUGAAAAGAACCCCGGGAGGGGAGUGAAAUAGUACCUGAAACCUUGUGCUUACAAGCAGUCACAGCCCGUUAAAGGGUGGUGGCGUACUUUUUGUAGAACGGUCCGGCGAGUUAUAGUCACUAGCAAGCUUAAGGUAUUCAGUACCGGAGGCGCAGGGAAACCAAGUCUGAACAGGGCGUAAGAAGUUAGUGGCCAUAGACCCGAAACCAUGUGACCUAGCCAUGAGCAGGAUGAAGUGGAGGUAAAGCUCCAUGGAGGUCCGAACGCACGUUCGUUGCAAUGACCGGCGAUGACUUGUGGCUAGCGGUGAAAUUCCAAUCGAACUUGGAGAUAGCUGGUUCUCCCCGAAAUAGCUUUAGGGCUAGCGUUGGCAAUGAGUUUCCCGGAGGUAAAGCACUGAAUGAGCUAGGGGGCGCGAGCUUACUGAACUCUAUCAAACUAAGAAUGCCGGAGAAAUGCUUACCAGCAGUCAGACUGCGAGUAAUAAAAUCCGUGGUCAAAAGGGUAACAGCCCAGACCCACAGCUAAGGUCCCCAAUAUACGCUAAGUGGAAAACGAUGUGAGAUCGCAUAAACAACCAGGAUGUUGGCUUAGAGGCAGCCACUCGUUCAAAGAGUGCGUAAUAGCUCACUGGUCGAGUGAUUUUGCGCGGAAAAUUUAACGGGGCUAAGCGUAUAACCGAAGCUUGGGCUUGCACGAAAGUGCAGGGGUAGGGGAGCGUCGUGUACGGGGUGAAGUCGCACCGGAAGGAGCGGUGGACUGUACACGAGUGAGAAUGCCGGAAUGAGUAGCGAGAAUUAUGUGAGAAUCAUAAUGGCCGAAAAUCUAAGGUUUCUUGGGGAAGGUUCGUCCGCCCAAGGUAAGCCGGGAGCUAAGGCGAGGCCGCAAGGCGUAGUCGAUGCACAUACGGUAGAAAUUCCGUAGCCACCGAACUUUAAACCAGAAGGACACUUGCAGAUAGCGGAACCCAGCCGUUGGUUGAGCUGGGCGAAAGGGACUGAAAUAUAGUAGGGAAGUCCGCGAUGCUGUGAGGCGAGAAAAGCUCUGGUGUAUACUAAGGUGCCCGUACCGCAAACCGACACAGGUAGAUGAGGAGAGAAUCCUAAGGCCAACGGGAGAAGGGUUGUUAAGGAACUCGGCAAAUUGACCCCGUAACUUCGGAAGAAGGGGAGCCUCGAAAGAGGCCGCAGUGAAUAGGCCCAAGCAACUGUUUACCAAAAACACAGGUCUAUGCUAAAUCGAAAGAUGACGUAUAUGGGCUGACGCCUGCCCGGUGCCGGAAGGUUAAGAGGAGAGCUUAGCGCAAGCGAAGGUUUGAAUUGAAGCCCCGGUAAACGGCGGCCGUAACUAUAACGGUCCUAAGGUAGCGAAAUUCCUUGUCAGGUAAGUUCUGACCCGCACGAAUGG